AACGCGAAGAACCUUACCUGGAUUUGACAUCCUCGGACAUCCGUAGAAAUACGGCUUUCGUAGCAAUACGACCGGGAGACAGGUGCUGCAUGGCUGUCGUCAGCUCGUGUGGUGACAUGUUGGGUUAAGUCCCGCAACGAGCGCAACCCCUGUCCUUAGUUGCCAGCAUUCAGUUGGGCUCUCUAAGGAGACUGCCGUGGUUAACACGGAGGAAGGUGGGGAUGACGUCAAGUCCUCAUGGCCUUUAUAUCCAGGGCGACACACGUGAUACAAUGGACGGUACAGAGGGAUGCAAAGUAGCGAUACCAAGCCAAUCUCAAAAAGCCGUUCUCAGUUCGGAUUGGAGUCUGCAACUCGACUCCAUGAAGUUGGAAUCGCUAGUAAUCGUGGAUCAGCACGCCACGGUGAAUACGUUCCCGGGCCUUGUACACACCGACAUA
rnacentral:rRNA from 1 species